rnacentral:rRNA from 1 species
GACGAACGCUGGCGGCGUGCCUAAUACAUGCAAGUAGAACGCUGAAGGAGGAGCUUGCUUCUCUGGAUGAGUUGCGCACGGGUGAGUAACGCGUAGGUAACCUGCCUGGUAGCGGCGGAUAACUAUUGGAAACGCUAGCUAAUACCGCAUAAUAGUAGAUGUUGCAUGACAUUUGCAUAAAAGGUGCAAUUGCAUUACUACCAGAUGGACCUGCGUUGUAUUAGCUAGUUGGUGGGGUAACGGCUCACCAAGGCGACCAUACAUCGGCGACCUGGGGGGGGGAUCGGCCACACCUGGACUGAGACACGGGCCAGACUCCUACGGGAGGCAGCAGGAGGGAAACUUCGGGAAUGGACGGAAGUCUUACCGAGGAACGGCGCGGGAGUGAAGAAGGUUUUCGGAUCGUAAAGCCCUGUUGUAAAGGAAGGAAGAGUGUGGGAGUGGAAAGUGCACACUGUGACGGUAUCUAACCAGAAAGGGACGGCUAACUACGUG